rnacentral:lncRNA from 1 species
CCUGAAUCAAAAUUUUUCUGGGUUGUGUUUGAUUAUUUUGUGAGUAAACAAAUUCAGGAUAUAAGUAACUUUAUAGUCUUGCGCUAAUUUAGUGUGGUAACCUAAUUAAUAAUAUUGCCACAUCUUCAGAAUAUAACCCAUUUCUACCCCCCACCUUAUUAUCUUGGGAAACAGGAAACCAAAUAUGAAUUGAAACUAAAUUCGCUUACAAAUAAAGAACUUUUCAAGACACAGGAAAUGUAUUUUUAUUCUACUUAGUAGAACAUUAAAGAACAUUAAAGAAGUAGAACAUUAAAGAUCAUUAAAGAACUUUUCUAUGCGGAUUAAUAUUUUAAUAUUCUGAAAUCUGAAUAAUAAUAUGCCUUAAGAAAUUCAAGGAGUGUAAUAUGAUUUCUGAUAUAAAAGUACUUCAGGGAAAACAAACUAUUUCAAAUAUGUUAACUAUUAUUACUACUCCAAAUUCUUCAAACACUGUGCCGUUCUAAUUUAUUAAUGAAAUGAUACACUAUUGAAAUGAUUUCAUUUUUAAUAAUGCCUCACAAAAUUUGAAUGUCUUUGCUUUCAUUAGGUGAUCAUUCAAAAUACCAAGCACAGCUGCUCACAGAUGACUGACCAAACAGGAAUCUCACUCCAUUUUUCAAUGUUCACCGGCUGACAACUUUUAGACAUCAUCCCUUCCUCAUCGUUUUUGUCCACAUUUGGGUGAGCUACUAAGAGAGCCUGUGCUUUCUCCUUCAGUACCUGCUGGAAACUGAAACCAUACAAGCCCCCCCCCCCUUAUCCGUACCCCACCCUUAAAUGCAAUAAAAACUCCUGAGCCAGUCUCUUUUUCUGGCACUCUCCAGACACUUCAGACCUCCUUGAGAUCCCUGCUCUGUGUGGUGUACUACUCUUGACAUUUCAGUCAAAUUUCAGUGAAAGUGCCCCCUGCUUUUGCAGGGUGACCGUAACGGCUUGACCCCUGCAGGAACUGAUCGAUCAAGGAAGACAACACAACAGCUGCAUGGAUUUCCUUCACAAACUAUUGUUUUUAUCUUCAUAAUUCAAAGUGGCAAAGCUUCACCUGUGAAUUUUUAUAGAAGCCUGGGGAAACACUCAGCAGGAUCUAACUUUUUGUUGUGGGUAAAAAACAUUUUCCCUUUAUGUGAAAGUUUGCUCUUUAUUUGGCAGAAGGAAUCCCCUGGUGAGGUGAAUUUUAGUUGAAAAAAAAAAAAACAAUAAAAUAUACAUCUUGAGAAUGGCA